GACGAACGCUGGCGGCGUGCUUAACACAUGCAAGUCGAACGGAAAGGCCCUGCUUUUGGUGCGUGCUCGAGUGGCGAACGGGUGAGUAACACGUGAGUAACCUGCCCUUGACUGUGGGCUACCUUCAGGAAACUGGGGUUCAGACCGGAUAGGAUCUCCUGCUGCAGGGUGUGGGUUGGAAAGUUUCGGCCGUUGUGGAUGGACUCGCUGGUUAUCAGCUUGUUGGUUGGGUGGUUGCUUACCAAAGCCUUGACCGGUAGCCUGGCCGAGAGGGUGGACGGGCAACAUGGGGCCGGAGAUCCGGCCAGGACUCCUCCGGGGGGCAGCAGGGGGGAAUAUUGCCCAAUGGCCGGAGGCCGGAGGCAGCAACGCGGGGUGCGGGAUAACGGCCUUCGGGUUGUAACCGGUUUUAGCAGGUGCCGAGGCGUGGGUGACGGUAAUGGGUGAAGAAGCACCGGCUAACUACGUG
rnacentral:rRNA from 1 species